GUUAUUUAUUUUGAGAGUUCAUAUCGACAAAAAAGUUUGCGACCUCGAUGUUGAAUUAAAAAUUCGCCAUGGCGUAGGAGUUGUGGAGGUAG
rnacentral:rRNA from 3 species